rnacentral:rRNA from 1 species
UCCGUAGGUGAACCUGCGGAAGGAUCAUUGAAUCUAUCACAAUCCACACCGCGAACUAACACUGUUGGCCUCCGUCUGUAUAAAAGCAAACGGGCCAGGUCUGGGCGCAAUGUAAAAGUUACGCCUGGCCUGGGUUGCCGCAAGGCAUCGGUCUCUUAUACUAACCAACCAACACCAAACCAAAACUAAAUUAAAACCGAGUAUCUAGCUUAGAGCUAGUGCUCACUAACCAAGACAACUCUCAACAACGGAUAUCUUGGCUCUCGGAUCGAUGAAGAACGCAGCGAAAUGCGAUACGUAGUGUGAAUUGCAGAAAUACGUGAAUCAUCGAAUCUUUGAACGCAUAUUGCGCUCGAGGCUUCGGCCAAGAGCAUGUCUGCCUCAGCGUCGGGUUAAUACUCGCCCUACUCCAACAUACACUUGUGUGUUUGGAGCAAGAGCGGACCUGGCUGUCUCGGUGUUUGAUUUUCGGAUCAGACGCCGGGUCAGCUGAAGUACAGAGGUUGAUGCAUGGACCCGCUUAUGGGCCUCUACUGGGUAGGCAACUCGUUGCUAAUGCUUUAGUAGAUGGCUUGGAGCUGUGCUUGUCGACCCAAACCAGGAACUUUGGCCCUGUGCCGAAGCAAACCCCUAUUUUCUCGACCUGAGCUCAGGCAAGAUUACCCGCUGAACUUAAGCAUAUCAAUAAGCGGAGGA